AUUAGGAUGUUGAUAGUGGUUACAAUGGAUGAUAGUGGAUAAUUAUAGACAUGCUUUCAAAAUGGCGUAUGCUGAACAAUUUUAUUUUCAGUCAACUUGGAGCACACUUAAUCAUUUUAUGGCAAGAAUAGGUAAAUGUUGGCUCAACUGUAUAAAAUAAGGCGUUCAAGGAUGCAAUUCGGAAGCGUAAAAAAAGACUUGAGGCAUAUGCAAGAGAACUAUCUUCACGUAGCAGACUGACAUUUGUGGUGAAUUCACUGAAUUGCUCUGGAAGCUAACAGUUAUUGGUUGUUAUUCUGGCUAUGUGAAACCAAUCUAUCUGCAUGAGUUCUAUCAUGAUUUUAAACAGCAAAUCGAUGCGUUGCGUAUGAGUUGUAUCGACCAGCUUACUACACAGUCAACACUUCACCAAUUUGGAAUUUGAAACAUUUUGGUGAUAAGAAUUUUAUACCGACGUAUCCCUGCGAUAAAAAGACUCACAAGAAAAACUGUUUUGUUCAGAGUAAGAUUAAUAUAAAAAUUUUUGAUGCUAUGAGAUGGUCUCAUCAAUGUGCAACAAUUGAACUGGAUUUCCAACUUCCUGAGAGAUUCAACCUCACGCUAGCUAUUGUAGGUUCAGUUGAAAAAAUGAUUGCUAUUCUUGCUGAAAGCUUUGGUGGAAAAUGGAUUUUAUGGCUUUCUCCCCAUCAAGUUGUAGUAAUUCCUGUCAGUAGUAAAUAUGAUGAUUAUGCCGAACCGGUAAAUUUAAUUUGAUUCAAAAGAAGUUCCAUGCAGCUGGUUAUCGUGUUGAUACAGACUUGGAUCACGGAUCAACACUAAAUAAGAAAGUUCGCAAUGCACAACUUUCACAGUACAACUUCAUUCUUGUUGUUGGUGAAAAGAGACGGUCUCAGACACGGUCAACGUCAGAACACGUGACAACAAAGUACUCGGUGAAAAAUCGGUCAUGGCCGUGAUCGAACGCUUGCGAGAUUUAGUCAUCUCACGAAGUCUGACAAGCGAA